rnacentral:rRNA from 1 species
GACGUAGGAUGCAAGCGUUGUCCGGAUUUAUUGGGCGUAAAGAGUUCGUAGGUGGUUCGUUAAGUCUGAUGUUAAAUAUCGGGGCUCAACCUCGGGAGUGCAUUGGAUACUGGCGGACUUGAGUGUGGUAGAGGCAAUCGGAAUUCCAGGUGUAGCGGUGAAAUGCGUAGAUAUCUGGAAGAACACCGGUGGCGCAAGCGGAUUGCUGGGCCAUAACUGACACUGAGGAACGAAAGCUAGGGGAGCAAAUGGG